GAAAGUACAGCUCAGUGGUAGAGUGCAUGCUUAGCACGUAUGGGGUCCUGGGUUCAAUCCCCAGUACCUCCA
rnacentral:tRNA from 1 species